CGCCGCCAUUUUGGGCUGGGAGGAGGCAGCGGAGGGACUCGCUGCGCAGUGAGAGCACCCCGUGGGGGGUGGUCCGGGCGCGGGGAGAGGCCGGGCCGAGUGGGCUACCUGAAGUGGCGGCGCCGGGAGACGGCGGGAAGUGGGACCGGGGGCCAGGGAGGGUGAAGGUUGGAGUCUCCUCGGCCGAGCCCGGUCCUCAAACCGUCCCGGCAGCCCCGCAGCCUCGCCUCUCACAGAGUGCGGGGUUCUUCGGUAAUUACCGCGUGUUUCCCGAGACCCCAGAAGGGGAGAGGCUGGUGAAACGGCUUCCCUCUGCGGUCUUUCCACAGGGGCGCGGAUCCUGAGGCCGAGCUCUGCCAGCUUCCCUCCCCACCCCCAUUCGGCCUGGGUAUGGCGGCGAGGCCCCGCACAGAGGGACUCCCACUUCGACUGGAGAGGUGGGGGCGACGCCAGAUUCCAGAGGCUGGCGCCGCGGGGGAGGGCGGAGGUCGCAGGUCUGGCCACAAGUCGGCGUGGCAGUCAGCUGGAGGCUCCGAGAGCGGAGAUCCCAGUGCACCCACCUUACCUCGCUUACACCAAAGCGCCAUCUCGCCGCCCGGGUUGCGAAAAACCACGACCCUCUUAAACUACUGUAGCAACCACUAAUUCCCCCUGGGAGCAGCUAGAGAGGGGCACUUGGAAACCUUCACGAGCUCGGUGCCUGAAGGUCUCUGAGGCUCUUGCCCUCAAGAUCUCUCCCAUUCAGCCCCGAUUCUCCGGACAACCUGACCUAGCAUGUCGCCAGCCUCUUGGUGAAACGCCUAAAGUGUGCUGCCCCACUUCUCUUGAAAGUUUACACCGAAGGGAUGAGGUUUUGCCCUUUACAGGGUUGGGGCACAAAGUCGGAGUCGCUGCGGCUCCGAAAUAGAAACGGAGUUGCCCAUUUCGUAUGCUUCAUCAACAUCUGCUUGCAUUUUGAAAUCCUAGUCUUAACUUUUACACAACUUUUAGAGAAAUGGCUGCCCUCCUAGAGGGAAAAACGAACUACAGUAAUUCCAAUUCCAAUGUAAUCUUUGUAAGACUACAAAAUCUUUCCAGUUUAAAGAUUUUUCUUUUCCCACAGACUAAACAAAGUCAGAGUAUUUUGUGUUCUACUGGUGCAUUGUUACUAGGUAACCUCAAUUUUUUGAAAUUCCAAGUAAUUGAAGGAUCACUUUUGUAGAUCCUAAAUGCUACCAAAAAAGAAACCAGUUUUUAUCUACUUCAUAUGUAUAGCGUUUAAGAGAUGAGGAGACCUGCUUUGAAAGAAUAAACUCUUAACCUUACAUUAUAGCUGUAGCAGCUUCUUAAAGAUUGAAGUUUGAUGUGAAGUUCUUUUAUUGAAUUGCAGGUUAAACCAUCUUACUUCCUACUGCUUGAAAUCUAAAUCCAGAGAGAUUUGUGGCUCAAGGAUAUCUUCAAAUAAAAGUUUUAUUGCUAAAAUGUCAGUUAAAAUUAUGCCUAGGUAGGUGCUGAAGUAGGAGAGGCUUUGACGUAGCAGAGUGACUGGCAGUGAAUUUUGUGGGUACCUUGUGAUGAGUCUUAUUAUCAGUUACAAAUGGUCAAAACAUGCCUAAGCCUUCAGCCUUACUAAAAGUUUAACAGAACUUGGCCUGGCGCGGUGGCUCACACCUGUAAUCCCAGCCCUUUGGGAGGUGGAGGCGGGUGGAUCACCUGAGGUCAGGAGUUUGAGACCAACCUGGCCAACAUGGUGAAGCCCCUUCUCUACUAAAAAUACAAAAUUAGCCGGGUGUGGAGUUGCGUGCCUGUAAUCCCAGCUACUCGGGAGGCUGAGGCAGGAGAAUCGCUUGAACCCAGGAGGCAGAGUUUGCCAUGAGCCUCUCACCGUUGCACUCCAGCCUGGGUGACAGAGUAAGACUCUGUCUCAAAAAAAAAAAAAAGUUUUCCAGAACUGAAGUUCUGCUCCUCCUAUUAAUAAUUUUUCUUCAGUUGGAGUGACAACUCCAUAGCAUUAACUUUUUUCCCUCUGCUCCCCAGAUGUUUUACAACUGGAUUACAAAAUAGGAUCAUCAUUGACUAGGGUCCUCAAUCCAAAACUGGAACCACUUACUCCUAACUGAAGCUUCAGUACACUUGAUGCCUACUGUGGUUUGAUUUUUUACCUACAUAUGACAUGUUCGCUCUACACUGAUCAAGAGAUGUGAGUUUAAAAAAGCUAACUAACUUGGUAGGACUUAAAUAGUCAUAGGAACAGAAAAGGCUUUUAAAGACGAUCUUUGUGGGUCUUCUGUCAAGAAUUUAAUGGAGGAUCCUAGACACUUGGGAUUCAUCCUCCAUUAUGAAGUAAUCUAGUGAAAUUUUUGGAUGCUACUGAGUGGCAAAUACUGUACCAGCAGCAGAAAUUUGUUACUCAUUUGUAAAUGAAACUUACUAUCCUUAAGGUUGACCCACAAGCUUUUCCAUUCUUUGCUAAGAAAAAUUGGGAAUAGGCCGGGCACAGUGGCUCACGCCUGUAAUCCCAGCACUUUGGGAGGCCAAGGCGGGCAGAUCACGAGGUCAAGAGAUUGAGACCGUCCUGGCAGACAUGGUGAAACCCCAUCUCUACUAAAAAUACAAAAAUUAGCUGAGUGUGGUGGUGUGCACCUGUAGUCACAGCUACUUGGGAAGCUGAGGCAGGAGAAUUGCUUGAACCCCGGGGCUGGAGGUUGCAGUGAGCCGAGAUCGUGCCACUGCACUCCAGCCUGGGUGACAGAGCAAGAUUCUGUCUCAAAAAAAAAAAAAGAAAAAAUGGGAAUAAAACCAGCUUAUUAGUGGCCUCCUGGUUAUCUAAGGAAAACACAGGACUGUAGGACUGAAAAUUAGGAACUCCGAGCUCUGUUUCUGUGUGUGCUGCCCUUAACUUGGUUGACUUGGCCAGAGGCCAAAUACUGAUAAUGAGGCCAAACUGGUCAUUUUGCUGCUUAGUCUAUUGUUCAUCUACUGUUCAACCAGACUUUCAACUUCCUUUUCAGCUCUCCCCUCUCAGAUGAGUUGCAUUAUGCUUUUAUGACAAAUUCUACAAACUCUAUAUUCAUUUGAAAAUGGUAUCAGCACUGUCUCCCUCAUAAAUACCUAGAGGAGUAACUAGUCUUAAGUCGCUAUGUAAACACUUACUCCUUGUAACUUUGUUAUAUGAGAACUUCACAAGGAAUGCUUCAAAGAUCAUUGGGGCAGUUGGAAAGCCUGCCUUACCAAAGUGUGGCCUUAGUUGUCCAUAGCAUCACAAAAGAGCCAUCCAAGUAGGCUGAAUGAGGAUCAGUCUCUCAGGGUGCCCACUGGUUGUGGCUGUGAAGUCCUGGACACUCAUUUUGCCUGAUGGCCAAAUCCUAGGGAGCAGUGACUAUGUGUGAGUAGGAUUCGUUGACAGAGGUAGGAGGUUUUUUUUUUGUUUUUUUUUCCUGCUGCCUGUAUAAUUGCAGAAAAGGAGUGAUUCUUUACAGUAAUUCCCCCUCUUCGGGAUGAAGAUGCUUGCUUCUGUUUGGUUUCCACAGUUAAAUCAAUUUUUUUUCCUUUUCUUUUGAGAUGGAAUCUUGCUCUGUCGCCCAGGCUGGAGUGCAGUGGCGCGAUUUCGCCCACUGCAACCUCCACCUCCCAGGUUUAAGCGAUUCUCCUGCCUCAGCCUCCCGCGUAGCUAGGAUUACAGGCACUCACCACCAUGCCUGGCUAAUUUUUGCAUUUUAUUUUUUUCUGGAACGGAGUUUCACCUGGUUGCCAAGGCUGGAGCGCGAUGGUGUGAUCUUGGCUCACCACAACCUCUGCCUCCUGGGUUCAAGCGAUUCUCCUGCCUCAGCCUCCCAAGGAGCUGGGACUAUAGGCAUGCGCCACCAUGCACGGCUAGUUUUGUAUUUUUAGUAGAGAUGGGGUUUCUCCAUGUUGGUCAGGCUGGUCUUGAACUCCCAACCUCAGGUGAUCCUCCCACCUUGGCCUCCCAAAGUGCUGGGAUUACAGUCAGUGAGCCACUGUGCCCGGCCUGUAUUUGUAUUUUUAGUAGAGACAGGGUUUUACCAUGUUGGCCAGGCUGGUCUCCAACUCCUGACCUCAGGUGGUCCGCCCACCUCGGCCUCCCAGUGUGCUAGGAUUGCAGGCGUGAGCUACGGUGCCUGGCCAGUUAAUCAGUUUUUUACCCUCCUGUGUUUAGGCCCCAACAUCCUGUUCUUGAUCUUUUUUGGCAAAAAUUUGGCCAAAGAUUGAAAUUUUGCCUCCUGGACCAUAUAUUUUGCUCCAGUUGCAAAGUAUGACUUUUAUCCUUUGGUCAGCAGUUCCCAUGGUGUUUAGGGCCUGAAUUUGACAUUCUUUUUUUUUUUUCUUUUUGAGAUGGAGUCUAGCUCUGUUGCCCAGGCUGGAGUGCAGUGGCACGAUCUCGGCUUGCCGCAACCUCUGCCUCCCGGCUUCAAGCAGUUCUCCCUGCCUCAGCCUCCCAAAUAUCUGGGAUUACAGGCGCCCACCACCACACCCGGCUAAUUUUUGUAGCUUUUUUUGUUUGUUUGUUUGUUUUUGAGAGUCUCACUCUGUCACCAGACUGGAGUGCAGUGGCGCAGUCUCGGCUCACUGCAACCUCUGCCUCCUGGGUUCAAGCAAUUCUCCUGCCUCAGCUUCCCAAGUAGCUGGGACUACGGGUGGGCACCACCAUGCCUAGCUAAUUUUUUUUCUGUAUUUUUAGUAGAGACGGAGUUUUACCAUAUUGGCCAGGAUGGUCUCGAUCUCUUGACCUUGUGAUGCGCCCGCCUCGGCCUCCCAAAGUGCUGGGAUUACAGGCGUGAGCCACCGUACCUGGCAACAUUCUCUUUUUUUAAAAAAAUAACUUUUUAUUUCUAGCCUCAACCAUUUACACUUUGCUUGAGAAAGAAUAAUAAAGUGGAAUUGUUAUUCCAGUGAUGUUGUGCAAAUGUGAGAAAUAGUACUUCCCCCAAAAAAACAAACCUCGAAACCCCACAAACUCAAGUGUACUUAAGUACUUAACGUUCAAGUACUUUUUAACUAUAACCAACUUUUCCACCACACUGUUGUGAAUAUUUGUUGCUAGCUGUUAUGGGUAUAAGUGAUCAAGGGAAGAACUGAUGCAUUACCUAAUGCUUGACUAAAUAUAGCCAGCCCUUAAGUAGGUAGAGUAUUUGGUUGUGGGUUUUGUUGUUUAAGUCUGUGGAGUCCCUCUUUGGUUUCUUUAACUUUUGCAGUCAUUAGGGCAGAGUAUAUUUAUUUACAUUUCUCCAAGCAAAGUCUUGCUCUGUUGCCCAGGCUGGAGUACGGUGGCGCGAUCUCGGCUCACUACAACCUCUGCCUCCCAGGUUCAAGCAAUUGUCCUGCCUCAGCCUCCCGAGUAGCUGGGAUUACAGAUACCCGCCACGAUGCCUGGCUAAUUUUUGUAUUUUUAAUAGAGACGAGAUUUUGCCAUGUUGGCCAGGCUGGUUUCGAACUUUUGACCUCAAGUGAUCCAUCUGCCUUGGCCUCCCAACGUGCUGGGAUUACAGGCGUGAGCCACCAUGCCUGGCCUAAAUUUACUUUUUAAUAGAGACGAGGCUGGUUAUGUUGCCUGUGUUGGUAACUGUGUUGCCUAGGCUGGUGUCAAGUGCUUGAGCUCAAGUGACCCUCCUGCCUUGGCUUCCCAAAGUGUUAGGAUUACAGGCAUGAAGCCACUGCGCCUGGCCUGUCUAAUCUUUAUUAUGCUUCCCCUCUUUAGAGAUACUUAGUCUGUUUUUCAGAACUAAACCAAUCUGGAACUCCCUGGCUCUCUCUCCUAAAACUCUGAAGUCUAGAGGACCCUGUCUCCUGAGGGCUCUAAGAAAAGCUGUCCAGCUAGCUGUGUCAGUUUGAGAAGCAGUUUUUCCUGAUUGAAUACCUAGGCCCCAGUAGGAAAAAGGGAACAAACUGAAAUUGCUAAUUUGUAAGCCUGGUCUUUUGAGCAGCUCAGUUAAAA
rnacentral:lncRNA from 1 species